AACUCCAAGUUUGUGUAUCCCGGUCCACUCUACCUUUCCAUCAGGCAGUACAUGUGGAAAUGGAAAAGUAGUUCUCUAAUUAAUCAAAGUCAGAUCUGCCUGAACGCCUGGAGUUGCUGCUGAUCCUUGUCCCAGCUUCUCCCAUGUUCUCUCUCUAUGUUUUUACCUUGAAAACUUCUGCUCAGAGCUGGGAAUGCCUGAAGGGCUUGCACGCUAAAAUCCAUCAAUAAGGGACUGAUCCUCAACAAGAUCCAGGGUCCAGUUUUAAACCUCCUGUGUCUGCCGCCUUGACCAGCCCUUGUAUUUCUCCCCAGACGGGAGUAAGAUCCUGGGCUCUGCCUUGCAGUGGCUGCACAACCCUUGCCCUGCGCCACUCCACGUCCCCCGCCGAUGAUUUUCCAGAGCUGUGUGUGGCUUGCCUGAGCUGUAACACAGGGCAAGGCACUUAUGGCUUUGCCAGAAACAGGAAAAAAGCAACUUUGCCAACAGCAAAUUCUACAGGCACAACAAGGCAUUGAAGACCUGCCAACCAGAGCUCCCGCCCAGCCCUGGAAAAAGGAAAAGAGAAAGCAAGGCCAUCGUGGUGUGAAGCAUCCCUGGAGCCCCUUGCUGUGACGUGACAGGUGGCACAUCAGAUAAAGCGGAAUGUCAGAUAAGCGGAGGUUGAAAAAUCGAGACUUUUCUGUAUAGGAUUCCUUCUCCAGUUUCUGGGGCUCUGUUAUUUAAUUUGACUUCCCAUCAAGUGCCUCUUUUAGUUAUAUCUAGGUUUAGAAGAGGAAGAUUGAGGUUAUCCAGUAACUCUCCUCGACUGCAUUCACACAUUAAAAGUCCAGUCUUGACCUUCAGAUACCCGGCAGUGAGGGGAACGUAAGCUUCUUACUGCCACAUGAGUCCACUCCACAUUGCCCAGUCCUGAAGGGCACAGGAAUUGGGCCCACUAUGAAAGAUGGGCAAAGCUCAUUCUGCAGUUAGAACCCACACAAUUGUAUAGAGGUGUGAUGGUGGGGAGGGCUCAUACAAAUAAGUUACCAGCACUUUAGAAAAGCUUUCUGCAGAUAGUGCUCCUUUCAAACUGGGCAUAGGGGUCAUAAUUGUUACUCCAACACUAGCGACUAUAAUAAAUUCUGCAGAGCUGCUGGAGGGAGCACAGGAAGUGAAGGAAAGGACUGACAUUUAUAAAUCACCCUAGAUAAUCAAACAAACAAUAAAAAAUAAUAAACAGAUUGUUGGGUGUGGGUUAGACUUUCACUCACACACCAAUUGCCUAGGGAAGAAGGGACAGUUUACACCUGUUUCAGAAGUGUCAUCUGGAGAGGCUGGUUUUGCAUCAUGUAUCCCAUUCACUCUUCCCUUCCCAGCUGAGAGUCAGCCAGGGAGGAAUCUCCAACUGUUCCUUGGACAAGGAAUGUUGGGAAGGCACCACAUCCCCAACAUCUCUCCCCAAACUUCAAUUACCAUCUAUGCUCUGCAGGGAGAAAAAAUAUGGACUUUGGGUGUCACUGUUUAAAGAAGAGGAUCCUUCUUGGUACUCCAUUUGCCUCCUUGUCUGGAGAGUCCAGACAAAGCUUGACAGAUUUGUGGGCUUCAUGGCACAGAGGUUCUGUGGAUGUUCCGAGGUUAGUUCUUGUUAAUCCUAUGCUUUGACUGUUCAGGGACAUGCAGGUGUGUUUUAUGUUGCUGCUGCUGUUUUGGGGUGUGUCUACACCGCACCUCAGGGGUCGAAAUAAGAUACGCAAUUUGAGCUACACAAAUUACGUGUCUUAUUUUGAUCUUAUUUCAAAAUAGCUUAUUUCGAAAUUUGGCACUAUCUAAACAGCACAUAUUUCAAAAUAAAUUGCUAUUCCAAAAUGUCCCUUACUCCUCAUGGACUGAGGUUUAUGGGGAUAUCAGAAUAGUGAGCCUGUUAUAUUUCAAAAUAAUGGGCACACUCAAAAGAUGCGGAAUAGCUAUUUCAAGAUACUCCAGUAUCCCGAAAUAGUGCUUCACUGCAGAUGUAGCCUUAGAGACUUCUACUGGAAAGCAUGAUAAACAAAUGUGAGACACCAGAAUAGAUCCCCAUAUGGACUCUUUAAGUGUACUAAAAAGUGCUGUGUACCUCAAUACAGCUAACAGAAUUAGAAAUAAGGUACAUUUUAUUUUUAUUUUUCUGAAAAUGGUGCAAUGUCAUGCUUAUUUUGAUAACAGACCCACCACUUGGAUUUCAUCACUUAAAAUUAUGUCCCAGAACUUCAUAAUUUCGUACACAAUUACAAUUGCCAGAUUUGUAACUUUGUGAGCAAAUGACCAGUUAGACUUCUGACUAGACUUAAGUGUCUGCCAAUGACAAAUGUGCACACAAGUUGCAUGUAUAUACUUUUAAACAUUGAAUUAUGGAAAAUGAGUCCUAGCUCUGUAUGUAUGCAUUGAUGAAUGCAGUUAUCUAUCUAAACAACGCUGAAGCUAGCUGCACUGCCAGCUGACUGAGGAGCUUUUAAACCACUGUUGCUUUUCUGACUCUCUCAGCUGUCCAUGUGUCUUAUGUUAUUCAAUUGAUCUACAGUUGCUAGGAUCAAUGUGGAUCUCCAGAGAGGGGGAGAAUAAUCACCCAAAUUUAUCAGUCAUGUCAGAUAAAUGUCUACAACUCAGAGUGAACUCUUGUGAGUGGAACUGAAGACAGAAGUAAUCUGGAACUCCUUUGAAUGUCUCAUUGAUGUGAAAAUACAGUGAAGAAGCUCUAGUCUGGUGGUCCAAUUGUUCAGUGAAUGCAGACUGUUCAAAAUACUGAAGUUUCAACCAUUAAUCUACAGGAACAUAGUGAAUAGAGGGAUAAAGAAUGCUGGACUUAAACCACAAAAUUACUUGUUUGAGUUAAUGCUGGUUUUGCGAACCAGCAGUGGUAUGUUAGAACAUAUUUUGUGUGCACAAAUUCCCCUAUUAAAGCUUUUUGUGGAUUUCUUUGCCUAUAUUAGGCUACAGUUUGAAGGUGAUUUUCAAUUCCAAACCAUACAGCUUCUAGUAUUACUUCUGGUUCGUUUAAACAACCAAGUUCAAGUGAACCUAUG